CCUGCCCUAAGAAGUAUUCCAGGUGUGGUUGCUAUGUCACAUGUGCAUCAGUAGAUGGCAAAGAGAGAGAGGCAAUGUCUAUGCUCAGCAUUCUGACCUAUGAACAUGUUUUGAUUGGUAGCCUAGCAUU